GGCCAUAUCACGUUAAACACCGGCUCCCGUGCGAUCACCGAAGUUGAGCUACGUCAGGCCUGGUCAGUAACUAGAUGGGCGACCACUUGGAAUACGGGG